CAACUUGCCAACAGUCACAGUUUUAUCCUCUGGGAAGAAAUUCUGACGUUAUACUCAGGGCUUUGCUACAGCCAGGUCACUUCUGGUCACUUCUUCUCCCUCACCUGGCCCUGCAGCAGCCAGGAGAGCGCAUGCUGCCGUGCCGGCUCGCCGGGGGACCGGGAGGGUGGAAGCCCCACAGCCGUGAGGACAGCAGUGUGCUAACCCCCACAGCUGCUUCACCGCUCUCAUCUAACCACAGCCCUGGUCCCCACAGUCCAAUUAAGGUAUCAAGUUCCUUCCAGGCAAAGACAUUAUGUACUAUCCAGCCAUCUGGUCUCUAGGAAGGUGGAAGUCCUACAUAUACACAUGGUCCAUAGAGUAGUGCUACGUGUUUGUCUGUUGGGAAACUUCUGAAUGGUAAAAUCUGAGUGUUUGGGAAUUUUUUUUUUUUUCAAUUAAAAUACCAGUUGUAUUUCUCUC